rnacentral:rRNA from 1 species
AAUACAUGCAAGUCGAGCGGGCCUCCGGAGGUGCUUGCACCUCCGGAAGGCCAGCGGCGGACGGGUGAGUAACACGUGGGUAACCUGCCUGGGAGUGGGGAAUAACCUGGGGAAACUCGGGCUAAUACCGCAUACGUUCCCGGAGCUACGGCUCCGGGAAGCAAGAUGGCCUCUGCUUGCAAGCCAUCUCUCCCCGAGGGGCCCGCGGCCGAUUAGCUAGUUGGUGAGGUAACGGCCCACCAAGGCGACGAUCAGUAGCCGGCCUGAGAGGGUGAUCGGCCACACUGGAACUGAGACACGGUCCAGACUCCUACGGGAGGCAGCAGUGGGGAAUAUUGGACAAUGGGGGAAACCCUGAUCCAGCAACGCCGCGUGGGGGAUGAAGGUCUUCGGAUUGUAAACCCCUGUUGAGAGGGACGAAGGCUUCCGGGCGAACAGUCCGGAAGCUUGACGGUACCUCGAGAGGAAGCCCCGGCUAACUCUGUGCCAGCAGCCGCCGUAAAAC